rnacentral:rRNA from 1 species
UACGGAGGGUGCAAACGUUGCUCGGAAUUAUUGGGCGUAAAGCGCACGUAGGCGGUUCACUAAGUCGGAUGUGAAAGCCCUAGGCUCAACCUGGGAAGUGCAUUUGAAACUGGUGGACUUGAAUACGGAAGAGGGUCGUGGAAUUCCCGGUGUAGAGGUGAAAUUCGUAGAUAUCGGGAGGAACACCAGUGGCGAAGGCGGCGCCCUGGGCCGAUACUGACGCUGAGGUGCGAAAGCGUGGGGAGCAAACAGG